UAGGGGCGUCGCCAAGUGGUAAGGCAGCGGGUUUUGAUCUCGCCAUCCGUUGGUUCGAAUCCAGCCGCCCCUGCCAU
rnacentral:tRNA from 1 species